rnacentral:lncRNA from 1 species
CAGAAACGAAACUCAAAAACAUGGUUUGUUUUUUACAUUUAUUUAUUUUACUAAAAUGUGCAUAACAUAAAAUUUACUAUUGUAACCAUUUUCAAGUGUAUAGUUCGAUGGCAUUCAAACAGGAACAUUAUUGUGGAGCACUCACCAGCAUCCAUCCACCUCCAGAACUGUUAGAUCCAGUUCAUUUCUGAUCUGCGCACAUUUCCACAGAGACCAUUGUGCUUCCCUCCAUGGGAGGGAGCAGCAUCCAUGGAAUGUUUCUGAAGGUUCCUGGAGCCUUUACUCCCUUCCCUAAGGGCAGGUGAAUGGCUAAGCAGAUUGGUGAUUUGGAAGAAGGACAAAAGUUCAGCCUUUUCUGGAUUUUCCUUUUGAUGGCAUCCUGUUUGGGGACACAUACGUGUUCUUCUCCUCCAACCAGUGGACAUACUUGGGCAGACCCUAUCCCUGCACUGGAAGGUCUGGGGAAAUUAGGACAAUGGGGACAAAGCAGUAGGAAAUUCACUUGGAUGUGGCCCUGAAUCAUUUGUCUAAGACAGAUUCCCAUUCAUCAGUCUUCCAGAAAGAGAGUUGGAUGCAAAUAAGGUACAGCACAGAGUUAAGGCGGCCAAUCCCAGUUAAUCCUGAGACUUGGACCCAGCCUCCUCAGUAGGCCAGGAGAAAAUCUGUGUUUCCCCAGGGAUGAAGGCUGUGAGAAGAGUGGAGCUGCUAAGUGGCUGCAGGGUUUCACUGCCAUGGUGAGGAAUGGACACUGCCUGCUGUUAUAAACUUGGAAGCGAUCAUGAUCCCCAGACCCAAGCCUGGAGCUGGCAGGACUCUGAACUCAAAUUUCCCCAGACAAGUGCUUGCUGUUUAUUAAUGUAGCUUUAACACUUCACAGUUCAAUGGUUCAAGUCCCUUUCCUAGAAUCUUAUGUCUGGUCCUACUGACCAUUGUUUUCUGCCCUAGAAGGUGGUGGGCAAUUGGGACCCCCACACCUGCUACUGUUCCCAUCUUGGUAUCUUCCCAAGGAGCAUUGCCCCCAAAGGGCAAAAUGUAUCCACUGGUUACUUGAAAUGUUUAUAUGACACUGUCCAAGUGAGUUCUACCAAUAAUAGAACUAAUGCUUUAAUCUUCAUAAAUCAUCUAAAUCUCUAAUGUUUUCAAAUUCAAAGGAGGAAGAGAGGACUGACUUACUAU